rnacentral:rRNA from 1 species
ACGGGUGCGUAACGCGCGGGAAUCUGCCCUUAGGUUCGGAAUAACAGCUGGAAACGGCUGCUAAUACCGGAUGAUAUCGCGAGAUCAAAGAUUUAUCGCCUGAGGAUGAGCCCGCGUUGGAUUAGGUAGUUGGUGGGGUAAAGGCCUACCAAGCCGACGAUCCAUAGCUGGUCUGAGAGGAUGAUCAGCCACACUGGGACUGAGACACGGCCCAGACUCCUACGGGAGGCAGCAGUGGGGAAUAUUGGACAAUGGGCGCAAGCCUGAUCCAGCAAUGCCGCGUGAGUGAUGAAGGCCCUAGGGUUGUAAAGCUCUUUUACCCGGGAAGAUAAUGACUGUACCGGGAGAAUAAGCCCCGGCUAACUCCGUGCCAGCAGCCGCGGUAAUACGGAGGGGGCUAGCGUUGUUCGGAAUUACUGGGCGUAAAGCGCACGUAGGCGGCUUUGUAAGUCAGAGGUGAAAGCCUGGAGCUCAACUCCAGAACUGCCUUUGAGACUGCAUCGCUUGAAUCCAGGAGAGGUCAGUGGAAUUCCGAGUGUAGAGGUGAAAUUCGUAGA